GAUGAAGAACGCAGCGAAAUGCGAUAAGUAAUGUGAAUUGCAGAAUUCAGUGAAUCAUCGAAUCUUUGAACGCACAUUGCGCCCGCCAGUAUUCUGGCGGGCAUGCCUGUUCGAGCGUCAUUUCAACCAUCAAGCCCCCGGCUUGUGUUGGGGACCUGCGGCUGCCGCAGGCCCUGAAAACCAGUGGCGGGCUCGCUAGUCACUCCGAGCGUAGUAAUACAUCUCGCUCAGGGCGUGCUGCGGGUUCCGGCCGUUAAAAAGCCUUAUUUACCCAAGGUUGACCUCGGAUCAGGUAGGAAGACCCGCUGAGCUUAAGCAUAUCAAUAAGCGGAGGA
rnacentral:misc_RNA from 1 species